CCUACGGGAGGCAGCAGUGGGGAAUAUUGGUCAAUGGACGAGAGUCUGAACCAGCCAAGUAGCGUGAAGGAUGACUGCCCUAUGGGUUGUAAACUUCGUUUAUAUGGGAAUAAAAUGUUCCACGUGUGGAAUUUUGUAUGUACGCUAUGAAUAAGUAUCGGCUCACUCCGUACCAGCCGCGGCGGUACUACGGAGGAUCCGAGCCUUAUCCGGAUUUAUUGGGUUAAAAGGGAUCGUAGGUGGAUUGUUAAGUCAGUUGUGAAAGUUUGCGUCUCAACCGGAAAAUUGCAGUUGAAACUGGCAGUCGUGAGUACAGUAGAGGUAGGCGGAAUUCGUGGUGUAGCGGGGAAAUGGUUAGAUAUCGCGAAGAACUCCGAGUGCGAAGGCAGCUCACUGGACUGAAACUGACACUGAGGCUCGAAAGGGUGGGUAUCAAACAGGAUUAGAUACCCGAGUAUC
rnacentral:rRNA from 1 species